CGCGUAGGUGGUUAAUUAAGUCAGAUGUGAAAGCCCAGGGCUCAACCUUGGAACUGCAUUUGAAACUGGUUGACUAGAGUUUUGUAGAGGGUGGUAGAAUUUCAGGUGUAGCGGUGAAAUGCGUAGAGAUCUGAAGGAAUACCAGUGGCGAAGGCGCCACCUGGACAGAGACUGACACUGAGGCGCGAAGGCGUGGGGAGCAAACG
rnacentral:rRNA from 1 species